CCAAAUAUUAUGAUAAGAAAAGUAGUUUGAAAACUGUCUUCAGAAAACCUGAGUAGAUGUGAACAGGUGACAGAAUUCAAAUGAAGUGCCUCUUUGAAUAAGAUUGUCGAAAUGUAUAGUAGGCAGUCUCGAUUUAUCACCGUUAAAAGAUAGAAAGGGAAAGUUUCCAAGAAAAGCUUUCUAAACAAAAGUGGAACCACGUAUUUGGCGUCUUUUUU
rnacentral:ncRNA from 1 species